rnacentral:rRNA from 1 species
AUGUGCGUACCUAAGAAGAAAGGCGGUAUGGGCUUCAGGGACAUUCAUUGUUUUAAUCUUGCACUUUUGGCAAAACAAGCAUGGCGCCUCAUUGACAAUCCAGACUCACUAUGUGCAAUUAUUUUAAGAGCCAAGUACUUCCCUGAUGGAGAUCUUAUGAGUGCUACUUUAAAGCAAAAAUCUUCAUAUACUUGGCAGAGUAUAAUGGUUGGUGUGGACACACUGAAACGUGGGUAUAUUUGGAGAAUUGGAGAUGGUGAAAAGGUGAAUAUAUGGGAGGACUCGUGGAUUCCUCAGUCACCGACAAGAAAGGUCCUAACUAUCCGAGGUAAUAAUUUAAUCACCCGAGUCUGUGAUCUCAUCGACCCAGCAACUGGAGACUGGGACUCACAAUUGGUUAAUCAAACGUUCUGGGAAGUGGAUGUCUAG